CGGAUCAGGUAGGAAUACCCGCUGAACUUAAGCAUAUCAAUAAGCGGAGGAAAAGAAACCAACAGGGAUUGCCUUAGUAACGGCGAGUGAAGCGGCAAAAGCUCAAAUUUGAAAUCUGGCUCUUUCAGAGUCCGAGUUGUAAUUUGUAGAGGAUAUUUCGGACACCGCCCCGGGUUAAAUUUCUUGGAACAGAAUGUCAUAGAGGGUGAGAACCCCGUCUUGACCAGGGUGUAGGAUCCAUGUGAAAUUCCUUCGACGAGUCGAGUUGUUUGGGAAUGCAGCUCUAAAUGGGUGGUAAAUUUCAUCUAAAGCUAAAUAUUGGCCAGAGACCGAUAGCGCACAAGUAGAGUGAUCGAAAGAUGAAAAGCACUUUGAAAAGAGAGUUAAACAGUAUGUGAAAUUGUUGAAAGGGAAGCGCUGGCAACCAGACUUGAGCGCGGCGGUUCCCCCUUGCUUCUGCUUGGGUUAUUCCGUCGUGUCCAGGCCAACAUCGGUUCUAGGGGUCGGUUAAAGGCUCUGGGAAUGUAUCUACCCCUCGGGGUCGACUUAUAGCCCAGGGUGUCAUGCGGCCACCCGGGACCGAGGAACGCGCUUCGGCACGGAUGUUGGCGUAAUGGUUGUCAGCGGCCCGUCUUGAAACACGGACCAAGGAGUCUAACAUCUAUGCGAGUGUUAGGGUGUCAAACCCUUGCGCGGAAUGAAAGUAAACGGAGGUAAGAAGCUUCGGCUGCAUUAUCGACCGAUCCUGAAGUUUACGGAUGGAUUUGAGUAAGAGCAUAGCUGUUGGGACCCGAAAGAUGGUGAACUAUGCGUGAAUAGGGUGAAGCCAGAGGAAACUCUGGUGGAGGCUCGCAGCGGUUCUGACGUGCAAAUCGAUCGUCAAAUUUGCGUAUAGGGGCGAAAGACUAAUCGAACCAUCUGGUAGCUGGUUCCUGCCGAAGUUUCCCUCAGGAUAGCAGUAACGUUUUCAGUUUUAUGAGGUAAAGCGAAUGAUUAGAGGCCUUGGGGUUGAAACAACCUUAACCUAUUCUCAAACUUUAAAUAUGUAAGAAGUCCUUGUUACUUAAUUGAACGUGGACAUUUGAAUGUAUCGUUACUAGUGGGCCAUUUUUGGUAAGCAGAACUGGCGAUGCGGGAUGAACCGAACGUGAGGUUAAGGUGCCGGAAUACACGCUCAUCAGACACCA
rnacentral:rRNA from 1 species